GGGUGAGAAUAUGGUGCAAGGGUUUGAAUGUUGGACUAUCACUCUGGAGACCAGGGUUUGAUUCCCAGCUCGGCCA